rnacentral:lncRNA from 10 species
UGUAUAUCCAUGCCAAAUAGACACAAAGCUGGAAGGGGCGUGAUUUGAAAUGCUCUGGGUUGGUUACAGGAAAACCUUUGGAGUCAUUUUCUUUGGAGCGGGAGUUGGGAUGGUUUGCUGCAGACACCCAGAUGUUUGAUGCUAUGUCCUUUUAUCUUCACCUGCAUGAGGCCGCUUGAUAUUGAUCUCACUGCAGUCCUCACUACAUAGCUCAUUGGAGUCCACACCAUGGCUUCGUACGAGUGUGCACAUGCAGUCAAAGGCACCCUUAAUGCCUGCUGCUCUGCGUCCUUCGAUGUCUCCUGCUCAGCAGUCCAGCUAUUACAAGAAAAGAUGGCUAUCCCGCCCAAUGUUUGGCCCCCUCCUGCAAAGGCCAAAACAUUCGUUGGGUUUUUCCUUUACUGUCUAAAUAAAGAAGAAUUUGUGCACAGUCUGAGUGGGUCAGGAUUUCAUCCCAUGGCCAUGUGGGAGCUCCAAGAUUUGAUCUCCGGGCUGGGAGAGAAAAUCUUUUUCUGUCUGGUGUUUUUCAAAAUUUUGAUGAUGGACUCACAUCAAGGAUGAAGAGCUUUGAUGUCAUUUGAACACCACCACCAUCACCACCACCAGCAUCAACAAACAAACAAGCAAACAAGCGUGAACUCAGGAGCCCUGUGGCCCAGCCUCCAGUCCAUUUCCUCACUGUGAUCUGGCUAAGUCACCUCCCCUCCACCUCAGUUCAGUCACCUACACAACAGGAAUGGUGGCUCCUGGCGUGAAAAGUUCUUAGGAGCAUUCAGCAUGAUGCUGUGUGGAGCACUUGGAAACUGCGUGUGCAUCACCUCAUAUUUCUGGCCACAGGUCAUUCAGACAUCUGCCCUUUGCCCUGGAGGAGAACCACUAGGGACUUGUGCCCAUAAGCACCAAUUCUGGCUUUUACCCUACCCAUCCUUUGCCAUCCCAAACUAUGCCAUCAACAAAUUCUAGAAAUCAAGUUAGAAAUGCUGUUCCCACGAGGGUCUCUGUGGUCUCUCAGAACAACAAUCAGCUGGCCCUGCUGGGCAGAUGUUGCCCAAUCCUAACCCACACUUAGCUAUCAACUUAAUCAUUCUCAACUAAAAACACCUACCUGAACACUUUUAGGGGUUAAGAAUAGUAUAAUCUCACUUAGCCAUUUGCAUUUUUUCUUCUUUUUACAAAAAGAAAUUUAUCUUUUUUUUUUUUUGAGACGGAGUCUUGCUCUGUUGCCCAGGUUGGAGUGCAGUGGCGCAAUCUUGGCUCACUGCAAGCUCCGCCUCCUGGGUUAGCGCCAUUCUCCUGCCUCAGCCUCCCGAGUAGCUGGGACUACAGGUGCCUGCCACCACGCCUGGCUAAUUUUUUUGUAUUUUUAGUAGAGACGGGGUUUCACCGUGUUAGUCAGGAUCGUCUUGAUCUCCUGACAUCGUGAUUCGCCCUCCUCAGCCUCCCAAAGUGCUGGGAUUACAGGCGUGAGCCACUGCGCUCUGCCAAGAAUAGUAUAAUCUCACUUAGCCAUUUGUAUUUUUUCUUCUUUUUACAAAAAGAAAUUUAUCUCAUUAUUAUGUUUAAUCAGUUUCUUGAGGUAUAACUUAAGUGUGCUAAAAUUUGCUCUUUUUAGUGUACAGGUCUAGGAUUUUUGAGAAACACAUAUUCAUAUGUGACCACCCCCAUGAUCAACAUAUGGAACAGUCAUUUGCCACCCAAAAUUACCUUGUGCCCUUUUGUUGUCAGACUCUUCUUUCUCCAGACCCUGGCAACCACUGAUGGAUUUUCUGUCCCUAUAGUUUUGCCUUUUCCAGAAUGUUCUGCAAAUGUAAUCAUUUAGUAUGUAGCCUUUUAAGUCUGAUUUCUUUCACUCUGCAUAAUGCAUUUGAGAUUCACCCACGUUGUUACCUGUUACAAUGGUUUGUUCCUUUUUAUUGCGGAGUAAUAUUCCCUUGCAUGGAUGUACCACAGUUUGGGUAACCAUUCAACAGUCAAAUGAGAUUGAAUUUGUUUCCAUUUUUUGGUGAUUAUAAAUACAGCUAUAAACAUUUGUGAAAGUGUUUUGUAUGUACAUACAUUUUUCUUAGACAUUUGGUUUUAAGAGAUGUAUUUAGGUUUAGUUCCAGAUGAACAAUGAGAGACUGAAAGACUUAAGGGACCCCUGAGAAGAGCAGAGGGAAUAUUCCCUGAGGCAGCCAUCAGUCAGACCUGGCCCUGUCAUUUAAAUGUGGGCUAGUGGUAGCAAGAUGCUGUUAUUAUUUUCACCAAGGACAUUUUUUGAGUAGCAAUUAAAAUGAAGUCUAUUUCUCUGAGCCCCUGGAGAAGAACAUAAGCACAUGAUGGUAACCAUCAAUUUAGUGGGCCUAACGUUAUCUAGGUGGUUAAUGUUUCCAUGGCUUCUGGCAAUUCCCAGUGUAAGUCACCUGUGUAUACUGGGUGGAUGCUUCUUUAAAUUAAAGAUAAGCUGUUCAGCUUAAUAACAGCUAAGGGAGAAUAUAGAGCCCGUGGGUGAACUGUUUACUAACAAGCUUCUUCAGGGUCAUUCAACUUGAAUGAACUCUCUUUUAGGCUAACUUGGUUUGUGGAGGGAAUGCAUGUUUCUUAGUUAAAAUAGUUACAUUGGAAUCCCAACUGUGCACAGGACUUCAAGGGUAAUUAUGAACCCCCACUGCAGAUUUCAGGCUUAGCACCAAUUCUCCUUGCUUUCUACUUGUAUCCAUCAAAAACAGAAGUUACGAUGGAGUUACAGCUAUACUUGUAAGGGUCUCAGUGAACCUCUCCCACUAUUCUGCCUUAUCACCUUUGGGUUCCUGUGUUCUCUACCCCCUCCCCACUGCAUGUUUUCAUUCAGCCAGGAAACAUUUACUGCCUGCCUGGUAUCAAGCCCUUGCAUGAGGGUGGGAGCUCAUAAAGAUGACUACACUAGAGAAUCAUUUGACCUUUCUCAUGUAGACCUCAACAUGAAUGAGUUUCAAUGCUGAUAGGGCAAUCAUUACCUUCAGACAAAUUUUCAGGAACAGCCAAGACUAGAGAAUGUAUGGCUAAAACACAGCACUAUGCAUUUAUAAUAGUCAUGGGUUCUCCUGUUUUAAUUGUACAUGGAGAAUAUUUCAGCUUUAUUUGUAUGGGCUGCUCUUAUGUAAAACAUUAUUUCAAUGAGGAAAUGUGUUUGGGGUUCUAAAUGACUAACUUACAAACACAACUUUGAAUAAAGUCCAUGAAUAAUUUGAGGAUUUAUGUCUAUCAAUGGCUGAUUUACCAGAUUGUUGGCUUUGGGUUUAUUGGUAUCCAUGUUGAGAGGCAUCAGAUCAUCCAAGGUUUAAGUUUCGUCCUGACCACUGACUAGCAUUGAGACCUUAAUGGGAUUAAUAACAAUGAUAAUGAUAGUGACAAGAGCUAGCUUUUCAUGAGCACAGUGGCUAAGAGAGUUAGCAUCAGUUCUAGCUGCUUUCAUUGACAUAGAUGUAAAUGGGGAGGGAAACCAUGACUAGACUCAAAUCUCUGCUCUAACGUCUGAUACCUGAAUAUCACUUUGCAAGCCACGUCAUCUCUCUAAGUUGUAGCUCUUUGUCUGAAAAAUGUGGAUAGUUAAUACAUUAUAAAUAAAUUAUUAUUACAUUAAUACACAGAAAUUCAUAAUGCUAUUGUGGGGAUUACAUGAGAUGAUGGAAGUAUUUAAUCUAGUGUCUUGUAUAUGGCAAAUAAAAAAUAAAUAUUCACUGCUGUUAAU